GGUCAGUGAUGAUUAGUAAAAGGUCUGACUGCACGAAGAAAUCACAGUCCCUUUAUUGCUCCCAGCUCCCAGCAGCCCCUCUCUUGCCCCAUCACGCUCUAGUUAUGUUGUGAUCGGAUCCCGGGGCUGCUGACAGUUUGAGAUACUCAGUUCGGGUUAUCCAAAGAAGAAUGGAGAGACAACCCUCCCUGAGCAUCCAACAAAACUAAUUACAAAGGGGUUUUAAUGGGACAAUAUGGACUGUGGUCGUGCAUGAUUUUAAGUUUUCAAGCUGAGACC